AGAAAGAAAGAAAGAAAGAAAGAAAGAAAGAAAGAAAGAAAGAAAGAAAGAAAAAUGUACAAUCUCUUUUCAGGUGAAGUUCUUGUGGGAACAUGUGAGAAGAUCUGGAGAUAUGGAAUUUGAGAGAACAAUUUGAAGGAGACACAGGGUCAAAGCCUCAUUUCCUCCUGCCAGAGAGAUGAAAUGAGAAAUACUGUAAUUUUAGAAUUGGCAUAAACUAGUGUUGAGGAGAUACAGAUAAUCUGCAGAAAUGAACGAUCUUAUCUAAAUUGUUCAUUCCAUAAGGUCAUCUUUUUUCUUCUGUUUCCAUAAUAACCAAGUGUUAGAUAAUAACCAAGUGUUAGGUAAGAAAGACUCUGGAGACUCAGCUCGUUCAACUUCUUUUAUUCGUUCUUAUAGGAUUGAAAACUGUAGUUGCGGUAGCUCCUUUUACAGCAGUGCUGUCCACAGCUUCGACCAGUGACGGCUGUUUAUUUUCAUGGUUCUGCAACUCGGCCAAUCAGGUAGCCUGCUUAAACCUGCGGACAUGUCACAGCUCGAACCUCGCUUGAAACACCCAGGACCUAUUAGAGAUGAUUACUAUGAAGUAGAGGACCUCCUUGAUUCCUGCCGACGAUAAGGGGUCCUACAAUACCAGGAGGAACCAUGGUAGAGGGGGCAGCAUGUCGGGCUUUACAUCUUACCAGCGUUCUGGAGCCCGACAUUACAGCUGUGCCUUGGAGCUGUGAAUCCCUGAUCUUCACUUUAAGCCUGGCAUUGCAGCUUGGUAGCCACUUGGCUGUGGGUGACAUUUCAUAGCCUGAGAGCUGUGUAUCUCAGGUGUAAGCUUCGGAGUGUGGGAGGGUUGUAGACUCUUUUGGCAGCCUUGGAGCUCAGAUAAUACAGACAGAUGUCUCUUUGAACUGUGGAACUGUUUGGCUUUAAGACAGUGCUGGGUUUUAGGCGAAUUGAUAAUUGUUAUUUGGGAUACUAAUGGGAGGCAGGGUGGAGGGAGGAAUGUAAUAUUAGCUUAGGCGUGGUGUAAUUAUGCACAGGGUAGUGGUGUGGAUAAUUAGGUAAUGGGUGGAUUAGGGUGGGGCGGAUUCUAGGAAAGUGGGCAGGGGUGAAUAAAACAAUGUUGGGAGUUAACUGUUUUCAACGGUGACUUUUCACAGCGAAAAUGGAGCCCAUUUUUGGCCACAAUGGCCACCUGCAGCCCUCUGCCCUCCCAACUCCAUUUUUGCUGGCAGAGACACUGCAGAAGGGUCCUUUGCUGUUUCCAGGCCAACCCUACGGGCCCAAUCUGAGCAUCCCAUGGGCCAGAUGCGGCCUGCAGGCCUUGAGUUUGA